rnacentral:rRNA from 1 species
AGAGUGAACGCUGGCGGUGCGCCUAAAACAUGCAAGUCGAGUGGGUUCAGACCCACGGCAGACGGCUGCGUAACACAUGGGUACCUACCCCGAACUCAGGAAUAUCCCGCCGAAAGGCGGAGUAAUGACGGAUAGUCCCGCAAGGGUAAAGCUUUCGCGGUUCGGGAGGGGCCUGUGCCCUAUCAGUUAGUUGGUGAGGUAACGGCUCACCAAGACAAUGACGGGUAGCUGGUUUGAGAGAACGACCAGCCAGAAUGGAACUGAGACACGGUCCAUACUCCUACGGGAGGCAGCAGUUAGGAAUCUUCCGCAAUGGGCGCAAGCCUGACGGAGCGACACCGCGUGAAGGAUGAAGCCCUUUCUGGGUGUUAAACUUCUGUUGUGGAGGACGUAAAUUUUUGACGGUACCUCACGAGAAAGCACAGCUAAUCUGCGCAGCAGCCGC